rnacentral:rRNA from 1 species
AGGGGGCUUAGUGGUGGGGUGACUGCGUACCUUUUGUAUAAUGGGUCAGCGACUUAUAUUCUGUAGCAAGGUUAACCGUAUAGGGGAGCCGGAGGGAAACCGAGUCUUAACCGGGCGUUAAGUUGCAGGGUAUAGACCCGAAACCCGGUGAUCUAGCCAUGGGCAGGUUGAAGGUUGGGUAACACUAACUGGAGGACCGAACCGACUAAUGUUGAAAAAUUAGCGGAUGACCUGUGGCUGGGGGUGAAAGGCCAAUCAAACCGGGAGAUAGCUGGUUCUCCCCGAAAGCUAUUUAGGUAGCGCCUCGUGAAUUCAUCUCCGGGGGUAGAGCACUGUUUCGGCUAGGGGGCCAUCCCGGCUUACCAACCCGAUGCAAACUGCGAAUACCGGAGAAUGUUAUCACGGGAGACACACGGCGGGUGCUAACGUCCGUCGUGAAGAGGGAAACAACCCAGACCGCCAGCUAAGGUCCCAAAGUCAUGGUUAAGUGGGAAACGAUGUGGGAAGGCCCAGACAGCCAGGAUGUUGGCUUAGAAGCAGCCAUCAUUUAAAGAAAGCGUAAUAGCUCACUGGUCGAGUCGGCCUGCGCGGAAGAUGUAACGGGGCUAAACCAUGCACCGAAGCUGCGGCAGCGACGCUGAUGCGUUGUUGGGUAGGGGAGCGUUCUGUAAGCCUGCGAAGGUGGCCUGUGAGGGUUGCUGGAGGUAUCAGAAGUGCGAAUGCUGACAUAAGUAACGAUAAAGCGGGUGAAAAGCCCGCUCGCCGGAAGACCAAGGGUUCCUGUCCAACGUUAAUCGGGGCAGGGUGAGUCGACCCCUAAGGCGAGGCCGAAAGGCGUAGUCGAUGGGAAACGGGUUAAUAUUCCCGUACUUGGUGUUACUGCGAAGGGGGGACGGAGAAGGCUAUGUUGGCCGGGCGACGGUUGUCCCGGUUUAAGCGUGUAGGUGUGUGUUCCAGGUAAAUCCGGUU